GAUGAACGCUAGCGGCAGGCUUAAUACAUGCAAGGCGAAGGGGCAGCAAUGUCACUGUCGUACGGGUGCGUAACGCGUAUGCAACCUACCUAUCACUGGGGGAUAGCCCGGGGAAACCCGGAUUAAUACCGCAUAAAACAGGGGCACCGCAUGGUGAUAUUUGUUAAAGAUUUAUUGGUGAUAGAUGGGCAUGCGUUCGAUUAGCUAGUUGGCGGGGUAACGGCCCACCAAGGCGACGAUCGAUAGGGGAGCUGAGAGGUUGAUCCCCCACACGGGCACUGAGAUACGGGCCCGACUCCUACGGGAGGCAGCAGUAGGGAAUAUUGGGCAAUGGAUGCAAGUCUGACCCAGCCAUGCCGCGUGCCGGAUGAAGGCCCUCAGGGUUGUAAACGGCUUUUAUUCGGGAAGAAGAGCAGGGAUGCGUCCUUGUGUGACGGUACCGAAUGAAUAAGCACCGGCUAACUCCGUGCCAGCCGCCGCCGUAACAC
rnacentral:rRNA from 1 species